GGGGAAUCUUCCGCAAUGGACGAAAGUCUGACGGAGCAACGCCGCGUGAGUGAAGAAGGUCUUCGGAUUGUAAAGCUCUGUCGUUUGGGACGAACGUGGAUUGUGUAAAUAAUGCAAUCUAAUGACGGUACCACAGGAGGAAGCCACGGCUAACUACGUGCCAGCAGCCGCGGUAAUACGUAGGUGGCAAGCGUUGUCCGGAAUUAUUGGGCGUAAAGGGCGUGUAGGCGGUAAUGUGUGUCAGAUGUUUAAUCUAUGAGCUCAACUCAUAUCAGCAUUUGAAACUACAUAACUUGAGUGCAGGAGAGGUAAGUGGAAUUCCUAGUGUAGCGGUGGAAUGCGUAGAUAUUAGGAGGAACACCGGUGGCGAAGGCGACUUACUGGACUGUAACUGACGCUGAGACACGAAAGCGUGGGGAGCGAACA
rnacentral:rRNA from 1 species